GUAGGUGAACUGCGGAAGGAUCAUUG
rnacentral:rRNA from 8 species